AGGACAGACACUCUCUGGCAGCCAUCUUUGACCCAACCACUUUCUGCUCAGCGGGAUCACCAAAGCAAGACUCCACAUAAUUGAUUUUGUAGGGCUAAGAGUAGCAGACCCAGUAACAGAGCAGCAAAUGGAUUCAAAAGACGCACAGAACACAAAGAAAGCUGUGUGAAUUACAGUCUCAUCAGAGAAUGGUCAAUGACCACCAAAAGACCACUGUAAAGGAAGACACUCAGGUUGAGGGAGGCCCAGACUGGCCGGCCUGUGGCAGGUGGUGCUAGAACAGGGACUCCAGCAGAGUCCCUUACUGCAUCGCACAACUUCAGGACAUAAACAAAACUAACGUGGAAAAAAAGAGACACUACAAAAUUUAAUUCUGACACUGUAAAAUGAAACCAGAGGUGGCCAUUUCCAAAGCAUACUGUAAAAGCUGGAGAGGUGAACUGACUCAUCCUCAUCAAAAGUGCCUGUGGGGACUGUGUAUCUAGGAGUGAACAGCCGUGGAGAUACCGGGCUGAAGCAGGGGACUAUGAUUUCCCUCACGCUGUGGUAGAGCCACGGUUUUACCAGCUGCAGGCAAACCAGAUGCCAAAAAUCAAGAGUCCAAGGAGGAUCAGCGUUACCAGGACAGCCGCCACGAUGCCCCCCACAUUCAGCUCCACUGUGAGACACAAAGGAGAGGUCACUCGCCUUCAUAUGCAGCUGUGGUGCUGACGACGAUGCUGUCAUGAGCCACGUGCAAGCCUCUGAUCACACCCCAAGCUCUAAUCUUAGGCCCCAGUCACAUUCUCACUCACCAGCUUCCAUGCGUACAGCCUCUGACCUCAUGGCUGUCCCAUACCCAUUGUGGGCCUGGCAGUAGUAUUCACCACUAUCAAAGGCUGUCACAGGGUCAAAGAUCUAGAGGGAAGAGAACAAACUGGCUCCUUGCUCAAUAAACCAGACACCCAUCCUA